AACGAACGCUGGCGGCAUGCCUAACACAUGCAAGUCGAACGAGACCUUCGGGUCUGGUGGCGCACGGGUGCGUAACGCGUGGGAACCUGCCCUUAGGUUCGGAAUAACUCCCCGAAAGGGGUGCUAAUACCGGAUAAUGUCUCCGGACCAAAGAUUGAUCGCCUUUGGAUGGGCCCGCGUUGGAUUAGCUAGUUGGUAGGGUAAAAGCCUACCAAGGCGACGAUCCAUAGCUGGUCUGAGAGGAUGAUCAGCCACACUGGGACUGAGACACGGCCCAGACUCCUACGGGAGGCAGCAGUGGGGAAUAUUGGACAAUGGGCGAAAGCCUGAUCCAGCAAUGCCGCGUGAGUGAUGAAGGCCUUAGGGUUGUAAAGCUCUUUUACCCGGGAUGAUAAUGACAGUACCGGGAGAAUAAGCUCCGGCUAACUCCGUG
rnacentral:rRNA from 1 species